rnacentral:snRNA from 1 species
ACACAUUCCUGGCGGGAGAGACACCAGGAUCAGGAAGGUGUUUCCCCAAGGGAUGCUCUUUGUGCUGACUCUCAUGAUUUCCCCAAGUGUAGGACACGCGACUGCAUAAUCUGUGUAGUGGGAGAUAGUGUUUAUGCCCUCCCC